rnacentral:rRNA from 1 species
GCUGGCGGCGUGCCUAAUACAUGCAAGUCGAGCGAACAGAAGGGAGCUUGCUCCCGGAUGUUAGCGGCGGACGGGUGAGUAACACGUGGGUAACCUGCCUGUAAGACUGGGAUAACUCCGGGAAACCGGAGCUAAUACCGGAUAGUUCCUUGAACCGCAUGGUUCAAGGAUGAAAGACGGUUUCGGCUGUCACUUACAGAUGGACCCGCGGCGCAUUAGCUAGUUGGUGGGGUAAUGGCUCACCAAGGCGACGAUGCGUAGCCGACCUGAGAGGGUGAUCGGCCACACUGGGACUGAGACACGGCCCAGACUCCUACGGGAGGCAGCAGUAGGGAAUCUUCCGCAAUGGACGAAAGUCUGACGGAGCAACGCCGCGUGAGUGAUGAAGGUUUUCGGAUCGUAAAGCUCUGUUGUUAGGGAAGAACAAGUGCGAGAGUAACUGCUCGCACCUUGACGGUACCUAACCAGAAAGCCACGGCUAACUACGUGCCAGCAGCCGCGGUAAUACGUAGGUGGCAAGCGUUGUCCGGAAUUAUUGG